GGCCUCGUAGCUCAGCUGGUAGAGCAUGCGCGUACAAAGCGUAGGUGACGUCCAUGCGUGGAUUCGAACCCUACCGAGGCUA
rfam:Echinostoma caproni strain Egypt genome assembly, scaffold: ECPE_scaffold0010406